rnacentral:rRNA from 1 species
AUGGUAGACAGAACCUACUACACCGAAGGCUCCGAACUAACUUAUCAGGAGAAAAAUCAUCUGGUCGCAUUUUGUACUGAUCUUGAGAAUUACAAUAUCUACAAUCAAACUCCUCAACAUUAUGGUCAAUACGUGCCACUAGUGCACGUGUUAAACUACGGUAACUACCAUGAAGAUACCCUGAUAAUCCCGAAUGAUUGUGUGCCUCAUCUGAUGUAUACACACGGUAGCCUUCAUGUUUUGAAUAUACAACCAGGUCUUCCUACGAAUCUCAACUGUCCAUACCGGGUUUCUAAAAGAAGUGGAGACAUGACAAUCAAAGAAUGGAAAAAAUGUAUGGACAGUCGUAAAGAGCUUCUUGGAAGCAACAAUCAACGAAGGGCAAAAAUUGAAAACAGGAUGAUCGCCAUUCUUCAUAAUGGAGAGUCAGGGUCUAUAUUGUUUUAUACUAUUUUACCUUAA